UAGGGAAUCUUCGGCAAUGGGGGGAACCCUGACCGAGCAACGCCGCGUGAGUGAAGAAGGAUUUCGGUUCGUAAAACUCUGUUGUUAGAGAAGAACAGCGCAUAGAGUAACUGUUAUGCGUGUGACGGUAUCUAACCAGAAAGGGACGGCUAACUACGUGCCAGCAGCCGCGGUAAUACGUAGGUCCCGAGCGUUGUCCGGAUUUAUUGGGCGUAAAGCGAGCGCAGGCGGUUAGAUAAGUCUGAAGUUAAAGGCAGUGGCUCAACCAUUGUAGGCUUUGGAAACUGUUUAACUUGAGUGCAGAAGGGGAGAGUGGAAUUCCAUGUGUAGCGGUGAAAUGCGUAGAUAUAUGGAGGAACACCGGUGGCGAAAGCGGCUCUCUGGUCUGUAACUGACGCUGAGGCUCGAAAGCGUGGGGAGCGAACAGG
rnacentral:rRNA from 1 species